GGAGGCAGGAAGGGAGGAAAAUCUCAAUCUAUAAGCUUUCUUUUUAUAUCAGCCAGACUCAUAAGUUUUCUUUAUUUCAGCUGGAGCUCACAUCACAGCUGCCCUAUUUACUUACCUACCGGCUGCAUUCCUUAGAACCAGUUUUUUCCCUGUUCAGAAGGAAACCAGGCAGAGUUGGGAAAAUAUUUCCUCAGCCAGCUCCUCAGCACUGCUGUCUGUGGGAGACCAUCUGACCCAGAUGCCCUUCAGGUUAUGCAUUUUCAGCAGGAAUAUCACAGGAGUGAUCUGUGUUUUUUUCAUUGCACCCUAACAGAAGGUUGUAAUCUCUGUCCUGCUAGCAGACUCUCUCCCUUGCUGUCUUUGAUGAAGCAAGCUGUCACGCUGUGAGCUGCCCUAUGGGAUGUCCACAUGGCAAGGAACUGAGGGCAGUCUCCAGUCAAUAGACAGUAAGAAACUGAGGCCCUCAGUCUGACAACCCACAAGGACCUGAACCGGCCAAAAGCCAUGUGAUCUUGGAAGCAGAAACUUCUCCAGUCCAGACUUGGAGACUGCAGCCCCAGCCAACACCCUGACUAUAGCCUGUGAGAGACCCCAAAACAGAGGACCCAGCUAAGCCAUAUCUGGAUUCCUGAUCCAUAUAAACUGUGAGACAAUAACUGUAUUGUUUUAAGAUGCUAAAUUUGUGGUAAUCUGUUAU